GACGAAGGAUGCAAGCGUUCUCCGGAUUCCUUGGGUUUAAAGGGUGCGUAGGCUGCCCAGUAAGUCAGUGGUGAAAGCUCUCCGCUUAACGGAGAAACUGCCAUUGAUACUGCCGGGCUUGAGUACAGAUGAUGUUGGCGGAAUAUGACAUGUAGCGGUGAAAUGCAUAGAUAUGUCAUAGAACACCGAUUGCGAAGGCAGCUGACAAAACUGUAACUGACGCUGAGGCACGAAAGUGCGGGGAUCAAACAGG
rnacentral:rRNA from 1 species